GUCAUCUAAAUUUUGAUAGUAUAUCUAAUAAUAAUAAGACAAUUAGACAAAGCAAGCUAAUGUUUGAGUUGCAUCUUGGUUGAUUAUUAUAUUGUUUGAGCUGUGUUAUCUGGCCAGGAAGAAAAUGAAAACAUAAAAAAUUAGCGCUGCAUAUAAAAAUUAUAUAUAAGGUUGACUUUGGACAUCAAGACUGAUGGAUAUGCAGUUCAUUAUUUUUGCCUUUGGAUGUUAAAGAUAUUCCUGACUCUUUACAAAAAGCUACAUAGGAAACGGAAAGUCUUCUUUGGACUUAUUUAUUUCAGACCCACUUGCAUAGGAAGCAUGGUCAAUAGACUUGAGUAUGAAAUAGAGCAGAUGAAAAAUUGAGAAUUAAUUAUCCAGAUAAUUGCUAGACUGAAAAAGAUGCUAGAUUAGACAAGACUAAAUGAACGUAUCUUACAACAUUUCCAAAAUGUGAUAUUUUGUUCUAAAAUGUGAAGAAAAUUAUUGAGGAUCGAACAGAAUAUUAACAUAAUUGUUUUUAAUAGUUUUUGGACUAAAAUUAUAGAAUGUAAAGUUUAAGGACCAAUAGACACUUUCAUCAUAGUUAUAGGGGCCAAUAAGUUCACUAAUCCAAGUUGUUGUGGUAGGUAUACGAACAUGUUAUACAAUGAAUAGGAAGUGCCUUAAAAAAUUUGCUAGUUUUAAAUGGUUUGCCAGAUAAGUGUAUGAAGGUCAAAGGCUUUGCUGAUGUAAGCUCAUACGUGAAUGCUUUGUUUUGAUUGCCUAUCAAUUAAUCCAGAGUCUUUUUCAUAAUUUUGGUAUUAGAUCAUUUCUUAUGCAUUGUUCAAAGGAUUUAGAUUUAGAGGUCUGCAUAAUGUUGCCCAAAAAAAAAAAAAAACAAAAAAAACAAAAAAAAAAAAAAAAAGACAAAAAGAAAAAGAAAA